rnacentral:rRNA from 1 species
AAUCAACGCUGGCGGCGUGCCUAACACAUGCAAGUCGAGCGAGAAAAGGGGGGCAACUCCCUGAGUACAGCGGCGCACGGGUGAGUAACACGUGGGUAAUCUGCCCUGGAGUGGGGAAUAACACCGGGAAACCGGUGCUAAUACCGCAUACGAUCACGGAGUCUGCGGAUUUUGUGAUGAAAGGAGCAAUUCGCUCUAGGAGGAGCCCGCGGCUGAUUAGCUAGUUGGUGAGGUAAUGGCUCACCAAGGCAACGAUCAGUAUCCGGUCUGAGAGGACGGUCGGACACACUGGAACUGAGACACGGUCCAGACUCCUACGGGAGGCAGCAGUGGGGAAUUUUUGGCAAUGGGGGCAACCCUGACCAAGCAACGCCGCGUGGGUGAUGAAGUCUCUUGGGACGUAAAACCCUUUCGACGGGGACGAAACCGCAAGGUUGACGGUACCCGUAGAAGAAGCCCCGGCUAACUCCGUGCCAGCAGCCGCGGUAACAC